rnacentral:rRNA from 1 species
UAUGUGGUUUAAUUCGAUGCAACGCGAGACUACCUGCUUGACAUCCCGGAGACCUUAGGAACUAGGGGUGCUUCCAUCUGGAGAAUCUGGAGACAGGUGCUGCAUGGCUGUCGUCAGCUCGUGUCGUGAGAUGUUGGGUUAAGUCCCGCAACGAGCGCAACCCUUGCCUUUAGUUGCCAGCAGUUCGGCUGGGCACUCUAAAGGGACUGCCGGUGUUAAACCGGAGGAAGGUGGGGAUGACGUCAAGUCCUCAUGGCCUUUAUGACCAGGGCUACACACGUACUACAAUGGCCGAUACAAAGGGCAGCGACACUGCGAGGUGAAGCCAAUCCCGUAAAAUCGGUCUCAGUCCGGAUUGGAGUCUGCAACUCGACUCCAUGAAGUUGGAAUCGCUAGUAAUCGUGGAUCAGCAUGCCACGGUGAAUACGUUCCCGGGCCUU